UUUAUUGUUGCUGCUGUUGCACAAAUGGAUAGAUAUAUUUCCCAGCAAGUUUUGGAGACAGGCUGGUAGCAGGUACAAUUAAUUCAGUACAUAUCAUUUACUGCAUCCUCGCUUCUUUCACAGAAAUCCUUGCCAACUGAUCCCAGGCAGAAGAUUGGCUUUGGUUCUGUAAGCAGCUGCUCAUCUUCCCACUUUACUGGAGGUCAUCAAUGUGGUAGAGGAACAUACACAAAUGAUGAGGGAGCAACAAGGUCCUUCACCAAACUUGCUACAGAAGGUCACAAAAAUUACAGACUCAAGCUGUCAUGAAGGAUGAGCUGAAAAAAUGAUCGUCAUGAUCCAAAGUAAAGAAAGGGGCUGAAGAU